rnacentral:rRNA from 1 species
GACGAACGCUGGCGGCGUGCCUAACACAUGCAAGUCGAACGGAGUAAUUUCUUCGGAGGUUACUUAGUGGCGAACGGGUGAGUAACGCGUGAGAAACCUGCCUUUCAGUGGGGGACAACAGUUGGAAACGACUGCUAAUACCGCAUAAUGUUAUUUGGGGGCAUCCCCGAAUAACCAAAGCUUUAUGUGCUGAAAGAUGGUCUCGCGUCUGAUUAGCUAGAUGGCGGGGUAACGGCCCACCAUGGCGACGAUCAGUAGCCGGUCUGAGAGGAUGAACGGCCACAUUGGGACUGAGAUACGGCCCAGACUCCUACGGGAGGCAGCAGUGGGGAAUAUUGCACAAUGGGGGAAACCCUGAUGCAGCAACGCCGCGUGAGUGAAGAAGUAUUUCGGUAUGUAAAGCUCUAUCAGCAGGGAAGAAAAUGACGGUACCUGACUAAGAAGCCCCGGCUAACUACGUGCCAGCAGCCGCGGU